UACGAAGGGGGCUAGCGUUGCUCGGAAUUACUGGGCGUAAAGGGCGCGUAGGCGGCACUGUUAGUCAGGCGUGAAAGUCCUGGGCUCAACCUGGGAACUGCCUUUGAUACUGAGGAUCUUGAGUUCGGGAGAGGUGAGUGGAACUGCGAGUGUAGAGGUGAAAUUCGUAGAUAUUCGCAAGAACACCAGUGGCGAAGGCGGCUCACUGGCCCGAUACUGACGCUGAGGCACGAAAGCGUGGGGGAGCAAACAGG
rnacentral:rRNA from 1 species